rnacentral:rRNA from 1 species
CAGUCGCCACGGUAAUACGAAGGGGGCUAGCGUUGUUCGGAUUUACUGGGCGUAAAGCGCACGUAGGCGGAUCGAUCAGUCAGGGGUGAAAUCCCAGAGCUCAACUCUGGAACUGCCUUUGAUACUGUCGAUCUGGAGUAUGGAAGAGGUGAGUGGAAUUCCGAGUGUAGAGGUGAAAUUCGUAGAUAUUCGGAGGAACACCAGUGGCGAAGGCGGCUCACUGGUCCAUUACUGACGCUGAGGCUCGAAAGCGUGGGGAGCGAACAGGAUUAGAUACCCCUGUAGUCCCUGUCUCUUAUAC